GGAUGAAGAACGCAGUGAAAUGCGAUAAGUAAUGUGAAUUGCAGAAUCCAGUGAAUCAUCGAAUCUUUGAACGCACAUUGCGCCCGCCAGCAUUCUGGCGGGCAUGCCUGUUCGAGCGUCAUUUCAACCCUCGACCUCCCUUUGGGGAAGUCGGCGUUGGGGACCGGCAGCACACCGCCGGCCCUGAAAUGGAGUGGCGGCCCGUCCGCGGCGACCUCUGCGUAGUAAACCAACUCGCACCGGAACCCCGACGUGGCCACGCCGUAAAACACCCAACUUCUGAACGUUGACCUCGAAUCAGGUAGGACUACCCGCUGAACUUAAGCAUAUCAAUAAGCGGAGGA
rnacentral:misc_RNA from 1 species